AUGAUCAGAGGACUCCGGAAACCAGGAGAGCUGCCUGCUGUGUGUCAAGGCUGGCCUGAGGGCAUCUGCCGAGCACAGAGAAACCCAGGCCACAAGAGCAACAGUCUUUUCCCACUCCACCUCUUGAGCUGUCUGAUUUGCCCACAGAACACCAUCCAGGAUUCCCCUAACAGAGUCUCUGGGUCCGGAAUGGAGUCCUCAGGGCUGCAUGGGGCUGUGAUGCUAACAGUUACACCUGCUCAGGACUUGAAAGAGUUGAAGGGGACUGACGGUAUCCCAGGCACAGCCUCCCAGAUCUGAAUAAACUUCCACCUCCCACUGUGUCACUCCCAUUUUGCCUGCUUCCCCUUAGCCUCCAGCAGAACUGGCUGGAACACACACCAGCAUCACCUAUUUCCCACCCUCCCACACUUGUGUUGUGGAUGCCAGCCUGGAGGCCCUUGGGCACCUCCAGAGGGCUCUCGGGACAAGAUCACUUGUCACCUCUAUUACAGGUGGAGGAAAGCCAAGUGAGGAGGUUUAUUUACUUUGAGCAAGUUAUUUAACUUCUGAGCCUGUUUUUCUCUUCACAGUUGAUUACUUACUUUGCUCAAAGGCUACUCUUGCAGGGUAGGGCUUUUCCUCUUCACCUCUGUACUAUAUCCCUUCCCCAACAAAUAAAAGAUUUGGUCACAUGAAGAAUGGUCCCA
rnacentral:lncRNA from 1 species